CCUACGGGAGGCAGCAGUGGGGAAUAUUGCACAAUGGGGGAAACCCUGAUGCAGCGAAGCCGCGUGAGUGAGGAAGUCUUUCGGUAUGUUAAGCUUUAUCAGCAGGGAAGAAAAUGACGGUACCUGUCUAUGAAGCCACGGCUAACUACGUGCAAGAAGCCGCGGUCAUACGUAGGGUGCCAGCGUUAUCCGGAUUUACUGGGUGUAAAGGGAGCGUAGACGGCUAAUCAAGUCAGAAGUGAAAACCCAGGGCUCAACCUUGAGAUUGCUUUUGAAACUGAGUAGCUAGAGUGCAGGAGAGGUAAGCGGAAUUCGUAGUGUAGCGGUGAAAUGCGUAGAUAUUAGGAGGAACACCAGUGGCGAAGGCAGCUUACUGGACUGUAACUGACGUUGAGGCUCGAAAGUGUGGGGAGCAAACAGGAUUAGAUACCCGGGUAGUC
rnacentral:rRNA from 1 species